AAUACAUCACCAAUUUUAUACUUGGAUCCGGGCUGAGGAUCCCGGCAUCGCUUGGCAACCGUCAUUAGCUAUUGUUCGUCGAGACGCCGACGCAGUGAGCAGGAGCGUGGGAAAGAGAGGGGUUUGCAUCUUGGUGCCGCAUCAGCGAAUGAAUGAGGAAGUCUCUUGGAGUGUUCGAGCAAAAAAAGCGAAUCUGCACUAAAUUAUCACUAUACUUAGGUGGCUCUAAGUAAACGAAACAGAUUCGUGGCUACUCUCGGACAAGUUGUGGCUGCGGGGUCUCUCUGCAAAGGGCAGUUAAUGCAGUUUUUUAUUCUCGUGUCCCAGGCGAGUUAUGGCUGGUAUUAUGCUUUGUAAGCGUGUUGAAUAAUAAUCCUCAUUAAUGGUUU